rnacentral:rRNA from 1 species
UACAGAGGGUGCGAGCGUUAAUCGGAAUUACUGGGCGUAAAGCGUGCGUAGACGGUUAUUUAAGUCGGGUGUGAAAGCCCCGGGCUCAACCUGGGAAUUGCAUUCGAGACUGCACUGCUGGAGUACGGAAGAGGAAGGCGGAAUUCCCGGUGUAGCGGUGAAAUGCGUAGAUAUCGUAAGGAAGACCAGUGGCGAAGGCGGGUCUCUAGACAGUUCCUGACGCUGAGGCACGAAGGUCAGGGGAGCAAACGGG